AGAGUUUGAUCCUGGCUCAGGACGAACGCUGGCGGCGUGCCUAAUACAUGCAAGUCGAACGCUUCUUUCCUCCCGAGUGCUUGCACUCAAUUGGAAAGAGGAGUGGCGGACGGGUGAGUAACACGUGGGUAACCUACCCAUCAGAGGGGGAUAACACUUGGAAACAGGUGCUAAUACCGCAUAACAGUUUAUGCCGCAUGGCAUAAGAGUGAAAGGCGCUUUCGGGUGUCGCUGAUGGAUGGACCCGCGGUGCAUUAGCUAGUUGGUGAGGUAACGGCUCACCAAGGCGACGAUGCAUAGCCGACCUGAGAGGGUGAUCGGCCACACUGGGACUGAGACACGGCCCAGACUCCUACGGGAGGCAGCAGUAGGGAAUCUUCGGCAAUGGACGAAAGUCUGACCGAGCAACGCCGCGUGAGUGAAGAAGGUUUUCGGAUCGUAAAACUCUGUUGUUAGAGAAGAACAAGGACGUUAGUAACUGAACGUCCCCUGACGGUAUCUAACCAGAAAGCCACGG
rnacentral:rRNA from 1 species